NNNNNNNNNNNNNNNNNCUACGCCGCCAGGUAGGGCCGCGACGCCGCGGUGUCGUGCCGCGUGCCGCGCCGCGCACCGUGUGCCGCAGUGUGUGCUGUGCUGCGUGCCACGUGCUGCAUGCCGCGUGUUGCACCGCGUGCCGUGUACCGCAUCGUGUGCUGCGCCGCGUGCCGUGUGUCGCACCGCGUGCCGUGUACUGCAUUGUGUGCUGUGCCACGUGCCGCGUGUCGCACCGCAUGCUGUGUACCGCAUCGUGUGCUGCGCCGCGUGCCACGUGCCGUGUGUCGCACCGCGUGCCGUGUACCGCAUUGUGUGCUGUGCCACGUGCCGUGUGUCGCACCGCGUGCCGUGUACCGCAUCGUGUGCUGCGCUGCGUGCCGUGCCACGUGUUGCACCACGUGCCGUGUACCGCAUUGUGUGCUGUGCCACGUGCCGCGUGUUGCACCGCAUGCCGUGUACCGCAUCGCGUGCUGCACCAUGUGCCACGUGCCGUGUGUCGCACCGCAUGCCGUGUACCGCAUCGUGUGCUGCGCCGCGUGCCGUGUGUCGCACCGUGUGCCGUGUACCGCAUCGUGUGCUGCACCACGUGCCACGUGCCGUGUGUCGCACCGCGUGCCGUGUACCACAUCGCGUGCUGCGCUGCGUGCCGUGCCGUGUGCCAUGCAGCAUGCUGUGCACCGCGUACCGUGCCAGGUGCUGUGUGUGCUGUGUGCUGCAUAGCACGUGCUGCACCGUGUGCCGUGGGUCAUGCACCGCGCUGCGUCAUGCACCGCGUGCUGUGUGCCGCGCCCCAUGCCACGUGCUAUGUGCCACGUGUCGCACCAUGCUGUGCCACACGCCGUGCCACGUGCCGCAGUGUGCUGUGCCAUGUAGCGUGCCGUGCCGUGCGCUGUGUGCCGUGCCACAUGCCGUGCGCCACACUGCUGCGUGCUGUGCUGUGUGCCGUGUCACGUGCUAUGUGCUGCAUGUCGUGUGCUGUGCCACGUACCGUGUGCCGUGCUGCGUGCUGCAUUGCGUGCCGCACCACGCUGUGCCCCACGCUGCGCCACAUGCCACGCUGUGCUGUGCCAUGUGGCGUGCUGUGCCGUGUGCCACCCCGCACCAUGUGCCACACGCCAGGUGCCACGUGCCACACCGUAUACCGUGCCGCACGCCGCAUGCUGUGCCGCGUGCCACGUGCUGUGCCACCUGCUGUGCUGUGCACCUCAUGCCGUGCUGCGUGCUGCCCCACGUGCCGUGCCACGCACCGUGUGCCGCGCCACGUGCCGCAUCGCGUGCUGACCCGUGUCCCCGCAGGCCGGGCACCCCGGGCUACGGCGCCUUCCACGUGGAGCCGGCGCCCUACAAGCCGCGGCGCCCUGACGGCGGCUACGGCGACUCGUACGCGCGGCGGCCCUUCGGGGCGGCCGGCGGGCUCUACCGCGGCGCCGAGCACUACCUGCCCUACGGGGCCGCCUACGAGCCGGCGGGGCGCUACCAGCGGCACGCCUCCGCCGACGGCCGCCUCUCCUCCUCCUCCUCGUCCUCAUCGUCCUCGUCCUCCUCCUCCUCUUCGCACCGCCGCGCCGACGACGCUGGCUACCACGGGCGGCACCGGGCGCCGCGCGACGAGCCGCCGCCGCCGCCGGCCUCCUCCAGCUCCUCGUCCUCCUCGUCGUCGUCGUCGUCUGCCUCGUCGUCGUCGUCC
rnacentral:lncRNA from 1 species